ACUUUGCAAUGUGCGAAAGCACGACAAGGUUAAUCCGAGUGGUUUCUGCUAAAGAAACCUUUUGUCAGUCCUAGAAACACUAACGAAUAAGGGGUGGGCAAGUUCUGGUGUCAGCCGCCGCGGUAAAACCAGCACCUCAAGUGGUCAGGAUGAUUAUUGGGCCUAAAGCAUCCGUAGCACGUUUUGUAAGUUUUCGGUUAAAUCCAUGCGCUUAACGUAUGGGCUGCCGGGAAUACUGCAUAACUAGGAAGUGGGAGAGGUAGACGGUACUCGGUAGGAAGGGGUAAAAUCCUUUGAUCUAUUGAUGACCACCUGUGGCGAAGGCGGUCUACCAGAACACGUUCGACGGUGAGGGAUGAAAGCUGGGGGAGCAAACCGGAUUAGAUACCCGGGUAGUCCCAGCUGUAAACUAUGCAAACUCAGUGAUGCAUUGGCUUGUGGCCAAUGCAGUGCUGCAGGGAAGCCGUUAAGUUUGCCGCCUGGGAAGUACGUACGCAAGUAUGAAACUUAAAGGAAUUGGCGGGGGAGCACAGGAAUUGGCGGGGGAGCACUG
rnacentral:rRNA from 1 species